GACAGAGGUGCCGAGCGUUAGGCGGAAUCACUGGGCUUAAAGCGUGUGUAGGCGGACCGUUAAGUGUCUUGUGAAAUCCCCCGGCUCAACCGGGGAAUUGCUGGGCAUACUGGCGGUCUUGAGCAGUCUAGGGGCAGAUGGAACAAGUGGUGGAGCGGUGAAAUGCGUAGAUAUCACUUGGAACGCCAAAGGUGAAGACAGUCUGCUGGGGACUUGCUGACGCUGAGGCACGAAAGCGUGGGGAGCAAACAGG
rnacentral:rRNA from 1 species